rnacentral:lncRNA from 1 species
UAGUUAACUUGUUUGAUAAUUUUUUCUUUAAGUACCUCCUUUGAAAAAAAUGCAAUUCCAUAUUUAUAGCUGUACGUCCGUUUCUCCUUGUAUUCAACAUUCUCCAAGUUUGGCUUUUUUCAAAAUUAAAGUGAUCUGACUUCUUUCAUUUUCCUUUCCCUUUAUGGCCAACAUUUGGUGUUUCAGUACAAAGAUAUGUAGUAGAGCAGAAACAUGAGUAUAUUACAUAAUUUGUUUCAUGUUUACAUUCAUGUAAAUGUGUUUUGUAUUUUUGGUACACAGUGAUGAAAUCUCCUGGGGUUUUUUUUCAGUUUAGAAUAUAUUUGAAGUGUAUAUGGUCACUACUGGUCACCUCCUAUGCUUUGGUUCACAUCACACAAUGAGUCUUGAGCACCAUGAUCUGGAUGAAAUCACAAGGAACUGAACCCCUGGGUGUUUGGCCCACAGAAAUGGCCUAGAAUUAGUCUGAAUCAAAUACCUUCUAAAAUAUGUGCAAAGUCACUGAGAUCACUCUGUAAAUCCACUCCUAUUUGUCUACACCACUUGAAAAUUAAUAUCUAGUGAAGCCCUGUUCAAUGAUUAGAACUUUUAACUGUAACUUAAAUAUAAAUAGAUAACUGGUGAGUUAAUUAAGUGCAGGCACAGGUAAGUGCCUGACCACAACAUACAAAUACCUUGGCUGUGGCUCAAGAAUACUUGAAGUAUAAAUAAGUAUAGAUACUUAGACAAUUUGCUGUUGCUCCAUUCACUGUUGUAGCAUAAAUAUAUUUCUUAGGUUCAGCUGCAAAGCUUCUAAAUAACAGCAUUAUCACCUUGUUCCUCAAGAAGCCUUCCCACAGUUUUCCCACAGUCCAGCUCUGCUGAAUCUUCUGGAUGCUGAUCAGCUUGAGGACCACCUCAGCAUGGAUGGCAACCCUCCUGAGGCUGAGGUGGCAGCACCUGCAAAAAAGAAAGUGUUGGCUCUCAAAAGAGAAUAAGGAUUCUUAAAUGCUUGACUUACUAGAAGGUAAAUUUUUUGUUC